ACAAGUAAGCCAGAAAGAGAACAAGCAGGUAGCUGCCCUGAUAACCAUAAUAUAGGGCAAUUUUGUUAAUUAAUCUGCCUAUUCACUAUCAUCCCUGUCAUUCUGUUUCUUCCACAGGGGCACCGAUAAGUAAUAGCAGUCUCUUGUCCAGUGGUCUUAAGCAGAAAAAUUGCGUAGUCACUUGCCGUGGUCAGGGUCCAGCUGUAUUACUUUGGUUUAUGAAGAAACAUAGCAAAGGAUUGACUGCUGAAUUGCUUACCUUUUCCACAAGAAGGUGGAAAUUUUUUAGGAACCUGAACUGUGGACCUGUUGGGAUUUCAGCUGUUGAUGCUUCAUCAGAUCUUCUCAAUACCCAAGAAGACUUCAAACUUUCCCCUGUUGGUUUUGACUCCUUGACUCUUCAGUAAUAUGAAGACAAGGCUUUGUAGCUGCAAAUUUCUGCUGCAAUUUUUUUUUCUUUGUCACCUGUGUACCUUCACUUUUAUUUUGCAUGCAUUUUUAAUUGCAUUUUGCUACUUCUUUCUUUUCUUUUAAUGCCACUAACACUGUGUUUGUCAUCCCACUGACUCUGUGCUCUAAUGCCCAGCUUAAAGUUAAUAAGUGUCCCAUUUACUUUCAUGUUGACAGUCUAUUUAUCUUCUGGUGCAAGGAUGGGCAUACUGCCACAAAAAAUUAAUCCAAGGAAGUCAUGCCACAGUUAGCCUCUCUGCCUGUGCUGUGCAUACUGGACUGGUGCCUGCAAACUUCAUGCACUGAUAUGAACCACUGCAUGACUUCAAUCUUUUUUUCAUCUGACAGAUAUCAUGCUAUUUUUCGUAGCCUCUGCAAGUCUGUGGUCUAUUCCAAAGUGGCUUUGAUUUUGUGCUAUUAUGCCUUAGGUAUCUUUUCUGUAGUCUGGAUUUUCAGUCUUAUUUAUACUGUAAGAUAUUGUCCAUUUCCAUAAGCAUGAUUCUUGAGGGAGUGAUUCCUGCUGCUGGGCACAUUCUGCUAAUGAUAUUGGGUUAAUUCUGAUUUCCCAGUUAUAUCUAUUGUUAUAUCUAUCCUGGUAAAUUACAUGGGGUUGGGGCACAGACCUGACAUCUGCCCUCUGCUUAUUCCGAUGCUUAAAUGGUGAGCAUGGUCUCUGCCAGAGUUCUGACACAUUUGUAGAAGAGGGAGGAGCAAUUUUGUCCAUAGAUAGUUUGCAUGUGGCCAGGCUGAUUGUGGAGAUAAGGUAAGGAAGCUGUAUGGAUGCAAGUCAACUAUAGGGCCGGAUAGUGGUCCCUGGUCUGCUGUAAUUCCUGGCCUAAAAAUCCUUUCUGAUCUCUUCCAUUGCCAGAUUUUUAUAACCAUCUGGUCUUUAUUAGGAGCUGGGUUAGUUCGGAUUGACAAUAGUUGGAUAAAAUGCAAAUUCUUUACACUUUCUUCAGGUAUCUUCAUAUUUAAUAUAUCCCCCUCAGAAGACAAGGGCAGUACUCACAUUUUUUGCAAUGUAGUUUCAUAGUUGGUGUCUUCUAUCUGAGCUAGCUGAAAAUUAUUGAGCACAUGAAAUACAUUAAAAUCUGCUGUUGUCAGUAAUCGGGUUAUUUUCUGAAGUUUGUCUUUGACAUGGGCAAUUGACAUUGAUUGCAAAUGCAGAUGGAGACAAUUUGGAUCUCUUUGUCAAUUGUUUUGAUUCAGUGACCUGUCAAAAACUGGACCUUUUGACACACUUUUAACUCAGUAAUAAGUAUUCUCUUCUCUAGAAAUAUUUCAAAUUGUAUAUCAGAUCCCCAAUUCUCUAAUUGUGUGUUCUUCUGCUAGUAUUUACUCCUGUUUUGCAAUUUAUAUUUACAACAUGGUGCUUGACAAAGGUCUCCAAGCACUCGGCAUUGUAGUAUUCACUUAUUACUUACAAAUAAUCUGCACAACGAAUCUGUUCCCAAAGCUGAACCAUUUAAAAAUACAGUUCUCAAAUCAUGCUACCUUACUGCAAUGUUAUUUUUAUGGGGGUUCGUGUUUCAAUUGGUGUAACUGAUAUAACAAUGCAGAGUAUAGUGUGUUGUGUUAAGUCAUAUCUCAAAUCAGGAGGGCUGGGAGAAAAGGUGGCAUCUUUCUAUAUCACUGCAUCUGAGCUGCAAACACAUCAUGAGUUUUAAUUCCUUACGAAAUAAAAUAGGAAAACCAGAUUUAGCAGGGAUAUUUCUUCUGUGAGGUUGCUUUCAACAGUUACAUUUGAGAAGUGAAAUGAUACAUUAAACCAAAACCUGUUUUAAUGUGAAAAUCUGUAAAGACAGAGGACUUCUGUCUUCAGUACAGAUGUUGCCAGGUUAGGAGCCUGGUUUUCCUAAGUUCACUCUGUUGUCAACAGAGAGACAGGCAUUUCCUAAAGGGAAUUAUUUAAAGUACCCUAGCUAACCAUGCCAUUUUACUUCACUAUCCCAAACCAAGUUGGGUAUUAUUCAACUCAAGCGGAGCUUGCUACUUGUAGGAAGGAAAGAUGUCAUCAGAUCUGACCUCCCCAAGCAUAUCUGAUUACAGGUGGUAAAGGAAGUGCAAGCAAGAAGGUAGGUAUUUCAUUCUAUAUUGAUUUUGUUUUGUAGAAUGUGAAAAUUUAUUCCUUACAGCACAUUUUCUUCAAUAACAAAAUCUAAAUGACUACACUGCAUUCUAAUAUUUUUGUGACAUACUGUAUUAAAGCCUGGGAGAGGCUAAUGUGCUUGUUUAAUCUGUCUGUAAGUUCGUCACAGCUUCUUCUGAAAAUUUAUGUAGUUUUUGUCAUUUAAUGACUUACAGUGUUUUGGUUGGUUGCGGGUUUUUUUAGUUUGUUUUGUAUUGUUGUGGUUUUUUUGUUUGUUUGUUUGGGGUUUUUGUUGUUGUUUGUUUGUUUGUGUUCCUCUGGAUGUUUCGAUUCACCUAUGUGAGGGAGGACUUGUUAAAAAAACAGACAAACAAAAAACCCCAAGCAUCCCCCCUACCGACCUCCCUUAUUACAGUGGAAGUCUUAAGGAACACAUUAGAAUGUAAUUGUUAUUGAUGCAUGAACUAAAGAUGUGUGACCAUAAUUUCACUUCCCUGGAGAGGGUUGGGUCAGUUCACUGAAGUAUGGAAGAUAUGAGUGAUUCAUCACUCCUCGCCAUCAUGCAUGUGUUGUUAUCAAACCAAAUAAAGUGGUAUUGCUAUCUGGGGAGCAAAAGUUAGGACAUGUAGUGGCUAAGAGUUUGAUAUGUGGUUAUUGCUAUGUGAUUUGUCUGUAAUUGUAAAUAUUUUAUUUCUUUUCAUCUCUUUUUAACUACAAAUGAUCUAUUGUGAAGUAACAAAAGUAGUUUAGUCAAUUACUUUGUUCAAUGAUAAAUUUCCUUUCUGGGUUUUCUUUCAUGGGCAGUUGAUUUUUCCACUAGCCUAAAUGGAUGUUUGAACUUUCUAUUGGUAGCUAAAUUAUCAUAUGCAUUGUGAUCCUGUUGUUUUUGCCAAUGCUGCAGCAACAUCUGGUGGCAUGGUGAAAGCUGAUCAAGUGAAGGUUUCCUGUCUUCUGAAUUUUGAUAACUUUUUGAAACACCAUCCUGUGUCUCAGGAAUGAGCUCUGCAGGGAGUUAUGCAAAAGUUUUUCAUUUUGCUUCUGCUGCUCUGCCAUAGUCUAAAUUCAUGUCAUAGUAAAUAUACUUGGGCUUUGGUUUUUGGCUUGAAACAGUUCUUGUGUUCAGAGAUGUUUACAGAGAUGAUUUGAUAGCCUAUGUUUAGGCCUGAGCCCUUUUCUCCCCCAGUGAACAACUCAUGUAAUUUUUAUGUAGUUUGAACUACUAUUAUGAAGAAACUCUUAAGGAAAAACAAUUAUGCUGACAUACCCAGGUUCUCUUCCUUGACAUUUUACAUGAUCAUACCAGUGUUUCAAAGCUGUGUUUGACUUUGGAGAACACUAUGACUCAUCUUCUAUGAUUAGUUAGUUUGAAAAUUAUUUUACAUUAUUGUAUCCCAAAGUUGCCUGAUAUUUGAGAGGUUUUGAUAGCUCUUCUACAUUGGUUAAACAUUCUUUUUUUUUCUUUUUAGCUUCCUCUCUGCUAGAAAAUCCAGAAAUUCUUUUUAUGAUAGUUAAAGAUUUUAAAAUUAAAUAUCUAGACCAUUGCUGAUUCUGGAGCUAUGUAUUCCUCUAAUACAAACCUUGUUUAAUUAAAAUAUUUGUAUAUGUGAAUGAGGUAGUAAAUGGAAUGCUAUGAGUACAGCAGACACUAUAAAAUCCAAACAUGAAAUGUUUUCAUGAUGAGUUCUUAUUAGAAAGUCAGGUUUACUCAUUGUAGAAGAUUCACAUAUGAAACAUAUUUUGUAGUCAUUACAAACUGCCUCCAGUUUUUACACCAACAAAAUUCACUGAUUUUAAUGGAGUUCCUCCUGGUUUAUGCUGGUGUAAUUGAAAGUGGAUUAAGUCUCCUAGACUUCUAGUAGUAAAAAAAUAUGAGGUACUAAAUUGCAUGUAGUAAUUAGAAGAGUAAACGAAAAUGUGUUUAGCAUGUUGUAAACAACAGUGAGCAUACUCAAGGUCUAUAACUUUUUCAAGUGAAUAAUCUGAUAGAGCCACUUAAAGUUAACGUGUACCUCUUGACUCACUUGAUUACUGAGGGCUUACAUAUAAAAGAAGGAAGUCAACCAACGAUGUGAGACAAACAGGAGAUGUACACAUCAUCUACCUUGGGCUGCAGUUCUGCAAGCAGAUGAGCAAGGCUAAAAGCUCUUGGCAACACAAUCUUUCUUCCUUCACUUCCACUGCCCUUACUAUUGGCAAGAUAGCUCCUGACUCCUUUGCCAAACCUUGAAUUGAGACAAUUCAGUUUACUAACUCUAAAGAAAACCAUCAGUUUUGUUUUGUUUCUGGUUUUGUUGCAUUUGUGUUCAUGAAUUGAAUCCGUUCCCUAAAAGGUCCAGUAGUCAGCUGAUCAGUGGUAUCUGACUUCUGUGCAAAAAUGCUUUCCCAUUUUUGCAGGAGCUGGUGUUGGAAUAUGCAGAGCAGCUUGGUUUGCUGUCUGUCUGUAAAGUGACAGCUCUUUCUGAGUUUUGCCUGUUAGCAACUUGCUGCACUCUAGUGAUGAGAAGAUAUCAGCAAAAGUGAAGAGGUUCUGUCUUUCUUAGAAGAAAGAUACAACUGACCAGCUGAUGACUCUCUGUGUGGCAUUAGCACCUUGCUCUUUGACCACAGGUACGAAGCUUUUUAGAAUUUCACAGCUAGUUUUCCUCUUUUCUUCUCUCCUUUUAAAUACAUAAGUAUUAAUAACAAGUAGGUAAAUAAAGUGACAGUAGACAUGUAGUAGCACAGUAGUUCCAACCUUUUGGUAGCCAGAAAAUAGGCACUAAUCUGUGCCUAGCAAGCUCUGAUCUUCACAUUGUGGCCAGAAACACUUGCCAUCCAUCUCUGCCACUGUCCUCUUGCCUUGGUGGGGUUGCAGGUCUGCCUCUAAUUUCUCACUUUUGCUCUUACACUCUUCAGAAAAUUAAAAGGCCAAGCUAAUAAGCAUUUGGCUGCAUUGUGCAUCCUGGCAUUGUUAUUUCUCAGAUCCUGGUGCUGGCACCUGGGGUGGCUCUUCCCAGGCCGGCAGGGUUUCUUUGCGUGGGCUCUGUGCUGUCUCCUAUUUGUGCAGUCCUUUACUUCAGAAUGAGGUGCACAGUGAGAACCAUGAGAUACUGCACGACUUCACUGUGUUCAGUGGUUUCUUCAGAUUCAAGAGGCAAGUAGCACCAAGAUUUUUAUACCUGGCUGAGGGAAUUGUGAUAAUCAGAGAAGCUGAAAGGUUUUUAACAUUGCACAAAGACACAGUUUAUUAUGUAUUCAUGUAGUGCUACUUUGUUGUGCUUUAUUUGUUAUAUGUUUUAGCACUUCAUGACAUGUAUGAGUAUUCUUGAUACCUUCAAUGACAUGAAAUGUAUUAUGAGAAGGAAGCUGGUUACUGAGGUACAGAGAUUCAAGAACUUGAAAUUCCAAUCCUGUCUGUGCUGCAGACUCGGUGUAUGACCUUGAACAUUAUUCACUGUAUGCCUCUAUUUUCAUUUCUGAAAACAGCAUACCAGUUCUAGCAGAUAUCGUAGUUUUUUGUGUGUUAUGGAGUGUGUUUUUUUUGCCAGUGGAUGUUAAGAAUAGGCAUAAUAAUUACAAUUAUCAAACUAGGAAAUGGAUAGCACUUUCAGACUUCCAAGGAACUUAUGAACUAACGGUACACAGAAGUGUUUUCCAGAACUGCAUUCACUGACAUUAAUUUAUUUUAGACAAAGGACUGAAAUCCCAUUUAUUGGAGUCAUCAAAGAGGCAUUAGCUAUUAGCUAGCAUGCAAAAUACAGAAGCUUUACUAGAAACCCUGAGAUACUUGAAAGUGAUCUCUAUUAUAGACUAUUGUAAGGAGAAUAAUCGAAGCUUUCCUUUCUCUAGAUCCUCCUUCAAAUAGCAGUUGUGUUGGCAAACACUAUGUUGAUGGAAAUGGAUUCUAGCAUCAAAAAAUAAUUGGAACACUGGCUUAUAAUUCGUAUGUUAUCAGUACAACUUUGUGAUACAGAGUAAGUUGUCAUGCUUUUUAAACUAACCUUUGGACUUUAAAUAUUAAUUAAAGUGUUUGCCACUGUAUUUUCAGUUUCACAUCAGAUGGUUUUUGUACUGAUUCAUUGUCCCUUUUGAGGUUGCCAACAAACUAUAGAAAUAUUUGGCAUAAUUUAAUUGCUUAACAUUUGAGAGGUGUCUCUAAGAGCAUAUUCAGGGCCUGUUGCAGACUGAGAGGAUUAACAAACCAAGCACAUGGUCCAAUUAACACCGGUAAGUGUGUCAUAGUUGAAAUUCAUAGAAAGACUAGUUCUACUAUUUCUCAAAAGAACACUGUAAAUAUAUUCAUCUAGCUUUUGAAAGUAAACACAUCUCAAAAUAGAAAUUCAGAGAUCUCUGAGCUAGGAGGAAAAUGCUUUUACUUUGAAUCUUGUUUAUUUUUGUAUAGUAUUUUUUCUCCAGGGCUGCAGAUACCUGUAUUGCAUAAGAACUGGAAGAUCUGUGAUGAUGAUUUUCACAGAGUAAAGGAAAAUUGGCUCACUUGGUCCAAGGAAAAUAAUUUAAGUAACAUCAUUUCUCAGUAAACAGUUGCAAUACAGGGCAGUGGUCUUUCUUCUCUCCAUCUAUUUUUUGGACCUGUUUGUAGCACUCUGCAGGCUGUGCUUUGCAUGCCAAGAUAUGUGUAUUUUUUUCUGAGUCAGAAAAAGUUAGAUGGCUUUCAUUCAUUGAUACAAAUAGAAGCUAACCAGCAAGGAAUACACCUGUAUGAUAAAGAUUUUUAUCUAAAAAAAUUAGAAUUGGGCUGCAGUGUAAGCUUAUCUAGAAAGGCAAAAAACUUGCAGUAAAUCCCAGGGCAGAUCCAAAACAAGAUAGAGGGAGUUUAGAUACCUAGCUCUAAAGUGAAUUUUGAUACCGAAGUCUAAAACUGAAAAUCCAUUGUUAGCUGGCAUCUAACCAUAGGGUUAAGUAGGAAGAUGUAACCUGCUUCUUUGUUAAAACUCCUUGGGUGCAUAGAAUUGCACUUGUGAGCUUUUCAGGACUCUCCCAACCUCGACCAUGCUGAACAGCUGGAAAUCUGAACCAGUUGCAAAACAGAUGAUGUUCAGAAACAACUGUUUUAAGUAUAUAAUUCUAAGGAAGUCAAUUGUCAGUCUCAGCAUGUGGCUUACACAUGGUAACUGCAGCAGAAUCCUAUCAAAAUGUGGCUAUGGACUUAAUAUCAGACUCCUAAAAUAAGUAAGUAGAAGCACAGCUUACCCUUUUAUAGAAUGAGUAUGCAUUUUAUACGUUUUCUUCGAUAUCUUAGAACUUGGGCUUGUUUUCUUCCUCUAGCUGAGCAGAUUCAAAUCUACACUGUUCAAAAUCUGGUUUUUAUUGUUAGAUGCAAGGCCACUCUGGGUGGAAAUCAUGUCUUGCUCUUGAAAUUCUGUCAAAAUUGCGGUUCACUGUGUCAAAGAGAGAGAGACACCGUAAAUCUGAGAAUGGAAAACAAGGCAAGAAGGUUCAAGGCCCUGGUCCCCUAUAGUGGGAGGUGCUGCUUCAGAUCCUGAGUUAGGAUGCUUGGGAAUAGAGGUAAAGAACUGGUCUUUAGCACUUCCCAAAAUGCAUUGUAGGCAGUUGCUUGUUGAAUGUAAUAAUUUUAGGUAACUCACAGCUCACCACUUCGCUGCCUCUUUCUAAAAUACCUUAUUUUUCCUAUGUACCAUUUAAGGAACCUGGUAACUGAAGAAGAUAUUUUUGAUUUCACUCCAACAAUCACAAGCCUAAAAAUUAUCUCUUUUUGGCAGCUAACUCUUAAACAUUGAAAUUUCUUCUUGAUUGUGGUCUUGUUGCUGAUGGAUGGUGUCAAACUUAAAAAUACCAGAAUUCCAGAUCUUUUUUGAGGAUUAUAUUUUUUCUUGGAUAAUCUCAGAACCUGUUGAAAGAAUACAACGAAGACCCCAGGGUUUAAAUCCUGACUUGAAUUUGUUUGAAGGAAAAUCUUUAAAUGAGCGUGAUCAUUGAAGAAAACAGUACUGUUUUGUUUGUAUAACACCUUAUAUAACAUCCAUAAUUUGAUAGUGCUUGUAGGUCACACAGAUAUCCAAAAAGUAUUGUAGUGCAAUGUACCUGUACUAUUUAUCUGUGAAUUAUAUAACCUGCAGCACUUCAGUACAGUUGUCCAACAGUAUGCUGGCAUUGAAAUAUUGGCGGUUCCUUUCUGAGACUUUCUAGUAUGGAUAUAGUGAGAUUAUUUAAUAAUAAGUAUUUUACAGUAUUUUUAAUACACUGUAUCAGUUCUCAGAAUGUAUUUUAUUAACUUCAUCAAAUGUGUUGUUUAGGUUUUUUUGAGCAUUAUGUAUGCAUUGUUUAUUUUUGCUACUUUUCAUUUUGCUGGCUCCAAGGGCUGUGUUUGUCAAUUCUGAUCCUGCACUAGUUUGUUGUUUGUUACAUAUCUGCAAGGGAAGGAAUGAGGGAGUGUUGUCUCUUGCUUGUGGACAUGACUUGGGCAAAUGCAAUAAGAUCUUACAGAAAUAUUUAUAAGGCCUAAAUAUUAUAUUAUUUACUGUUUUUACAAUCAAUCAGCUACCAUAGUUAUAAUACCCUUUUCUGUUUCCAUCUGUAAAAGGGAAUAAAAGCAGUAAGUAGUAAAGAAAGAUUUAAUAAAAGGGGAAAAAAAUCAGAAGCAGCUUUCACAAACAAGAGAUGGUUUUCCUUCUUUACUUUUAAAGAAUUUUCCAAGAAGUUUACUUUCAUUAGGCAGGAAUCACCCUGCAUCAAGAAAUAUUGGCUGAGAAAUGACAAGACAAAGAAAAUUAAACCUGUAGCCUGCAAGUCACUGAAAUCCUUAAGAGUAGACUCUCAACCUCUCUGCCACACAUGCUCACCUUGGCUCCUACAAACUAUUCUCACCAGCUCAAUAUAACCUGGGAAGCUAUGGCUUGUGAGAAAUGGCCACUAAUGGGAGAUGGCAAUUCAGUGCUACAAAACCAAUGUUUUCCCUGGCUUUACUGCAGAGGGAAAAUCCACUUGAACGUAUUCAGGUUGCUAAAAAUCUCUCCUGUGAUACUUCCAUGAAGACUACUACAUUGCUACAAAAAUACUGUAACAUGUAAAAAAUGAAGUUUCUUCUAGGGUCCUCAGGAAAGGAGACCUGCUUGGUUUGGGAGUAUGAUUUUGAGACAAGCAGUCACUGAGCAUCAGAACAUUAAUAUCAGAAUUUUGCUUUAAAGGGUGUAAAUGACUGCUUCAAAUCAGGUCACAAGAAAAACUAUAGUUCCACAUAAGGGCCUUCAGCCACAAAAUUAUGCUGAGCCAUUUGAAAAAUUAUUGUUCAAUACAUGUAGUAAACUUGUGUGAUCUAUGAGGAGAGUUUAUAUAGUUUUACAUAGUAAUGCAAGGAUACAGACUUGCCGGUAUGGCUAUUGUUGCUGACAGCUUGACAUGAUGUUAGUUAUUUUAAGUGUCAGACGAGAGUGGCUGAUGCCGUGGUACUGCAGUGCUCACAUUUGUUGGAAAAUUAGAUGGUGAUUUUUUUAAAAAAGGCCUAAGAACCCCCAACAACCCAGCUCCUCAAGCCUCUGACUGCCUGUUGUUUUUUUUUUUCCUGUGCUGGAUGUAUAAUUUGAGUGAGCAGCAGUGAACAUGCCUGAGGUGUUAAGAGAAUGAUGCAUUUUCUUUAGGCAUGAAUACUCUUAAAUAAAACAGGAACACCUUCCUGCCAUUUGUUGUCUUCCAGAAAUACUUUUUUAAAGGAAACGGAAGCCAAUUAGCCCGGAAGUUUAACCUCUUUUAGCUUAGCUUCUUUUAUGGGAGCUUUUUAACCUUUUAAAUAAAUCAUUUUAUUUCUUUUCUCCCCUCCCUUUUGAAUCAGUUACUAGCAUUUCUCAUGCUGGGCCCAAGGAGCAGCCUGCUUAAAUUCAAGAAUGAUUUUGAGGGGAUAAAGUGUACAAGAUUUUGAAUUCUUGCCAUAAGUCCCUGGCAGAGAGCCAGGAAACCUCAGAGGAAUAGGGCUAAUGAAGGGAGGGUAAAGGAGAUCUGGAGAGUGUGGCUGGUAAUGCAGUAUUCAUUUAAUUGGGAGCAGGUAUUGGUGCAAACUUCUCCAUUUUAAUUGGAAAGAGAAGGGGGGUGUUAAGGAAGAUGGAGAAAAAUAAGAAUGCAUAAAGUUUUCAAGCUGAGGAGCCAAAGCCAGGCCUGUAUAUGGCAGAGAAAGAACUCAAUUUAGGGCAAUUUGCUCUGCAAGCUGGGCUGCAAUCUCCCCUGGGGAUAGGGAUGAGGAAGAAAAUGAAACCAAAAGAGAACUUGAUAAAAUCACCUAGCACAGACAAUCUCAGUAGAAUAGGUUUUACUGAGUUAAAUCUGCCCCAAUCAAUGUGAUUCUUUUCAUAUAAGUUACAAAUAAAAAGCCACAAGAUUACAAUAAAAAUCGAGGAUGUACUGCUGCUGAUGCAGCACAUGGUAGUCUUAAGGACUUGUUGUGGAAUACAGGUUUUUUGCAACCAUCAUGUUUGGUUUUUUAUUUUUACCUAGCUAGGAGAAAAAGAAAAAGAAAAAGAAAAAGAAAAAGAAAAGAAAAGAAAAGAAAAGAAAAGAAAAGAAAAGAAAAGAAAAGAAAAGAAAAGAAAAGAAAAGAAAAGAAAAGAAAAGAAAAGAAGAGAAAAGAAAAGAA